rnacentral:rRNA from 1 species
AGCGAACGCUGGCGUCAGGCCUAAUACAUGCAAGUCGAGCGGCCCUUCGGGGCAGCGGCGGACGGGUGAGUAACGCGUGGGAAUGUGCCCUUUGGUACGGAACAACUGAGGGAAACUUCAGCUAAUACCGUAUGUGCCCUUCGGGGGAAAGAUUUAUCGCCAUUGGAGCAGCCCGCGUUGGAUUAGGUAGUUGGUGAGGUAAAGGCUCACCAAGCCUACGAUCCAUAGCUGGUCUGAGAGGAUGAUCAGCCACACUGGGACUGAGACACGGCCCAGGCUCCUACGGGAGGCAGCAGUAGGGAAUCUUGCGCAAUGGGCGAAAGCCUGACGCAGCCAUGCCGCGUGAAUGAUGAAGGUCUUAGGAUUGUAAAAUUCUUUCACCGGGGAAGAUAAUGACGGUACCCGGAGAAGAAGCCCCGGCUAACUUCGUGCCAGCCGCCGCGGUAAGAC